rnacentral:rRNA from 1 species
AGCUUAAUGUGUGUUAAUAUUAGGUGGCUUCUGCUCAAUGGGUUCCUAAAUAGCCGCAGUACUCUGACUGUGCAAAGGUAGCGUAAUAAGUUGACUUAUAAUUGAAGUCGUGUAUCAAAGAAUGCUUGGGCGAGAGCUGUCUCUUGAUUAGUUUCUUUAAAAAAUCUACUUAGUAAGUGAAAAUACUUACAGGUUUAAUAAAAGACGAGAAGACCCUAAAAAUUUAAAUUAAGGCCUUUGGCCACUGAGGCUAAAUUUUUGUUGGGGCGACAAAUUUACAAAACUAACUUAAUCUUAAUUUAAGACUAUAAAAAAAUUCUUUUAAUUGAAAAUAAAUUACUUUAGGGAUAACAGCAUAAUUUAUAUAUAAGUUUGUGACCUCGAUGUUGGAUUAAGGAAUAGUAAGACCAGGAGUCUUAUUAUCAGGUUCUGUUCGAACUUCUUACCCUUACAUG